UACAGAGGUCUCAAGCGUUGUUCGGAUUCAUUGGGCGUAAAGGGCUCGUAGGCGGUCCAUCGCGUCGGGAGUGAAAAGCUGGGGCUUAACCCCAGUCCUGCUUCCGAUACGGGUGGACUAGAGGUAGGCAGGGGAGAGCGGAACUCCUGGUGUAGCGGUGGAAUGCGCAGAUAUCAGGAAGAACACCGGUGGCGAAGGCGGCUCUCUGGGCCUUACCUGACGCUGAGGAGCGAAAGCGUGGGUAGCGAACAGG
rnacentral:rRNA from 1 species